rnacentral:rRNA from 1 species
GACGUAGGGCGCGAGCGUUUGUCCGGAUUUAUUGGGCGUAAAGAGCUCGUAGGCGGCUUGUCGCGUCGACUGUGAAAACCCGCGGCUCAACCGCGGGCCUGCAGUCGAUACGGGCAGGCUAGAGUUCGGUAGGGGAGACUGGAAUUCCUGGUGUAGCGGUGAAAUGCGCAGAUAUCAGGAGGAACACCGGUGGCGAAGGCGGGUCUCUGGGCAGUAACUGACGCUGAGGAGCGAAAGCGUGGGUAGCAAACAGG